UACAGAGGUCCCAAGCGUUGUUCGGAUUCACUGGGCGUAAAGGGUGCGUAGGCGGUCGGGUAAGUCUGAUGUGAAACCUUCAAGCUCAACUUGGAAACUGCAUCGGAUACUAUUCGGCUAGAGGAAUGGAGGGGAGACUGGAAUACUUGGUGUAGCAGUGAAAUGCGUAGAUAUCAAGUGGAACACCAGUGGCGAAGGCGAGUCUCUGGACAUUUCCUGACGCUGGAGGCACGAAAGCCAGGGGAGCAAACGGG
rnacentral:rRNA from 1 species